rnacentral:misc_RNA from 1 species
AAAGUCGUAACAAGGUUUCCGUAGGUGAACCUGCGGAAGGAUCAUUAGUGAAUUAUGGGGCGUCUACUUUUGUAGGGCCUGACCUCCACUUUCUAACACUGUGCACUCAUUUGGCGGAAUAGAGAACGAAGCGCAAGCUGACGUCUCCGUUCUGCGGCUUACUUUUAAACACCAGUCAAAGUAUGUAACGAAAUAUCGAAACAAAAAAAAACUUUCAACAACGGAUCUCUUGGCUCUC